GGAGUUUGCUAUGGAUAUGAGUUGAUGGAUUCUAGUGAAUCUCCAAAUGUUCCAUUUACAUUGAUAUUAACUCGGUUCAAAAAAGCUCCAUCUAUGGUCAUUUACGACAACGCUUGUAGGAUGCACUCCUACUGUCUGAACAGGCAUCCUGAUUUCUUCAAAGACACAUGGUUUCUAGUCGAUCGACUGCAUUGGUUUAACCAUCGAGGGUGUAAUGAUGGGUACAACCUAAAUGAAUAUGUGCAAUUCAAUACCAUAAACAGUCAGGCUGCAGAGCAAUGCAACAGUUCCCUAGGAAAACUUAAAUCAAUGCUUUCUUACAUGACAAAUUACAACUUUCAUCUUCAUUGCAAGUUCUACCUGUGGGUUCUUAAUAAAAGAAAACAGAAUGCUAACAAGUGAUUAUGUGAAAAAGAUUUCCAAAAAUUUGUUGAUUUUUUUAGUUAAUUUUUUUGUUAAAUGUGUCUUCAUCAAUAAGUUUUUUCACUGGGUAGUUUUCAAGUUUUUUUUUCUCUUUUCCUAAUCACUCACUGGAAAGCAUGAAUUCAAGAUAUUGCUUCAUGAGUAAUAACUGCAGUUUUACUUAAAUUAUACAGUAUUUAACAUUAUUCAAAAUACUUAAUUUUAAUUAUUUUGUGUGUGAGCUUCUUGUCAGAUAUAAUUUUUAGUUAUCUUGAUUAUUUCUUUUAAAGUUGGUUGCAUAAAUUUUUUUUCCUCUUUAUCCAAAUCUCCCAAUCAACUACAUUGCUCUCUUCACUUCUAACUGGAAUGAGGAACGGAAAUUAUUUUUUUUCUUUCAAAUAAUUCAACUAGGAGUACACAAAAACAUUCUGAUCAGUAUUCAUUUAAGUUGUAGGUACGUUUGUUUUAAAAUAUACAUACUUCACUUACAUAUUUGAACACUUUUCCAAUGAAAUAAAGGUAAAACAUUCAAUUUUUUCAUGCAAAUGUUUGUCCUCAGAUUGUAAAGAUUUCUUCACAAAUUAUUUAGGUGCAUGAAUUUUCAUCAUUGGUUUAAAAUUGUGAAGCUCUCCAAAAAAAAAGUAAUACAGGUGAGAUGCUACAUAUCAUUGUGUCAUGUGACCCUGUGAAUUAACAUAUCACAGUAUUUGUUGUGUUAUACAUGUUAACCAAUUUACUGUAUUUUCUUGUCCUCAUGUUGUUGAUACAAUAAAAUUUGAAAACCUG